rnacentral:rRNA from 1 species
UACGUAGGGGGCAAGCGUUGUCCGGAAUUAUUGGGCGUAAAGAGCGUGUAGGCGGUCCGGUAAGUCAGCUGUGAAAGUCAAGGGCUCAACCCUUGAAUGCCGGUUGAUACUGUCGGGCUAGAGUCCGGAAGAGGCGAGUGGAAUUCCCGGUGUAGCGGUGAAAUGCGCAGAUAUCGGGAGGAACACCGGUGGCGAAGGCGGGUCUCUGGGCCGUAACUGACGCUGAGGAGCGAAAGCGUGGGGAGCGAACAGG